GCGCACCAGGCGCGAAAACUUUACAAUGCGGGAAACCGUGAUAAGGGAACCUCGAGUGCUGGCGCAUAGCGUCGGCUGUCCAGAUGCCUAAAAGCAUCUGAUAGCAAGGGCCGGGCAAGACCGGUGCCAGCCGCCGCGGGUAACACCGGCGGCUCGAGUGGUGGCCACGUUUAUUGGGUCUAAAGCGUCCGGUAGCCGGCUCGGCAAGUCCCCUGGGAAAUCUGGCGGCUCAACCGUCAGGCGUCCAGAGGAUACUGGCUGGGGCUUGGGGACCCGGGAGAGGUGAGAGGUACCUCAGGGGUAGGGGUGAAAUCUUGUGAUCCCCUGAGGGACCGACCAGUGGCGAA
rnacentral:rRNA from 1 species